GACGUCGAAUAUCGACGCCAUAAACACCAAAGUUGACCGUGUUUAUUACGUCGAAUAUCGACGUCAUAAACAUCUAAGUUUACCGUGUUUAUGACGUCGAAUAUCGACGCCAUAAACACCAAAGUUGACCGUGUUUAUGACGUCGAAUAUCGACGUC
rnacentral:miRNA from 1 species